rnacentral:rRNA from 1 species
GAGUUUGAUCCUGGCUCAGAUUGAACGCUGGCGGCAGGCCUAACACAUGCAAGUCGAGCGGUAGAGAGAAGCUUGCUUCUCUUGAGAGCGGCGGACGGGUGAGUAAUGCCUAGGAAUCUGCCUGGUAGUGGGGGAUAACGCUCGGAAACGGACGCUAAUACCGCAUACGUCCUACGGGAGAAAGCAGGGGACCUUCGGGCCUUGCGCUAUCAGAUGAGCCUAGGUCGGAUUAGCUAGUUGGUGAGGUAAUGGCUCACCAAGGCGACGAUCCGUAACUGGUCUGAGAGGAUGAUCAGUCACACUGGAACUGAGACACGGUCCAGACUCCUACGGGAGGCAGCAGUGGGGAAUAUUGGACAAUGGGCGAAAGCCUGAUCCAGCCAUGCCGCGUGUGUGAAGAAGGUCUUCGGAUUGUAAAGCACUUUAAGUUGGGAGGAAGGGCAGUAAAUUAAUACUUUGCUGUUUUGACGUUACCGACAGAAUAAGCACCGGCUAACUCUGUGCCAGCCGCCG